AACUGCGAGUGAAGCGGGAAAAGCUCAAAUUUAAAAUCUGGCGGUCUUUGGCCGUCCGAGUUGUAACUUAGAGAAGCGUCUUCCGCUCUGGACCGUGCACAAGUCUCCUGGAAUGGAGCGUCAUAGAGGGUGAGAAUCCCGUCUUUGGCACGGACGCCCGGUGCUUCUGCGAUGCGCUCUCGAAGAGUCGAGUUGUUUGGGAAUGCAGCUCAAAAUGGGUGGUGAACUCCAUCUAAAGCUAAAUAUUGGCGAGAGACCGAUAGCGAACAAGUACCGUGAGGGAAAGAUGAAAAGCACUUUGGAAAGAGAGUGAAACAGUACGUGAAAUUGUUGAAAGGGAAACGCUUGAAGUCAGUCGCGUCGACCGAGACUCAGCCUCGCCUCGGCUUGGUGUACUUCUCGGCACGACGGGUCAGCGUCGAUUUCGCUCCUCGGAUAAUGGCAAGGGAAAGGUGGCACCUUUACGGGUGUGUUAUAGUCUCCUGUCGGAUGCGAGGGGUGGGAUCGAGGAACUCAGCGCGCACCUCGGUGUCGGGGCUUCU
rnacentral:rRNA from 1 species